CAUUGUAUAUGAUAUACUUAUGUUAUUUCUAUUAUUAGAUAGAAUAAUAGGGACACUAUUUAUAGUGUCCCUAUUAUGUAGGGACACAAUAAUUUAGAAUACUAGGGAUAUUGUGUUCCCUGGUUAAAAUGUAAGCUCAGUGAUAAUAGAAGUCUUUGAUUUGUUCAUUGAUUUACCCAGAGAGUGGUACCUAAUACCCAGUAGGCUCCCAAUCAAUAUUUUACUAGUAAAUGGUAAGAAAAAUAAAGAGCACAACAUAUAAAUGACUAUGGGCAUCUCUUAGAGCCAGGGACAGGAGGGGAGAGGAGGUCAGGAAAGGUUGCAUAGAAGACAUGACAUUUGAACCAAACUGUGGAAGAUGAAUAGGUUUGAACCUGUAGGGUUGAGAGGAGAGUAGUCAGGUGGAGGGGUCAGUGUGUCUUACGUUUACAGAGGUCCCAUAGAGAGGAGUGGGUUCAAUUAGGCACAGAGGGGCAAUGGGCAGACUGAGGGGAAGACAUAGGCUGAGAAAGUAGGCUGGAGCCGGGCUGGGUGCAGUGGCUUACGCCUGUAAUCCCAGCACUUUGGGAGGCCAAGGCGGGAGGAUCACUUGAGGCUAGGAGUUCAGGACCAUCCAGGGCAACAUGGCCAGAACUGAGCCCUACAAAAAAAAUUUUAAAAAA